GUCUAAAGGCCAUGAUACACGGGCAACUUUUUUGGGCAAUAUUGCCAGCAAUAUUGCUGACAACGAUUGCCGGCAAUAUUUUCUAUUGAAAAGCGGCAACUUUUCAUUAUCUGGGAAAUUAGAUCGAUGGGGCAACACAGUAGGCAACUUUUCGGGAUCCUCCAAUCAGAAUACAGAUUUUAGUCAUGUGACUACUUCUCUUGGCUGAAGAAAAUCGACGAAGAUGGCGGCCAAUCUUGCCUGGAGCGAAGAAAUGGAGAGGCAACUGAUUUCAUUUUUCUCAGAACACCCGUGCCUUUGGAAAGUGAAGCUUGAGGUCUACAAAGACAAAGACAGGAGGGACAGAUGUAUGGAGGCCUUGCGCAACCAACUAAAUUCUGCACAGACAGAAGUUGUUGUCACAGUCGAUAUCAUUAAAAAAAAUUUCAAAAACAUGCGGACAACCUUUCAGCGGGAAAAUAAAGCAGCAUCCAGUAAGUGGUCAGGCGAUGGAGCAGAUGACGUUUACAUUCCAAGAUGGAAAUACUAUAAAGACCUGCUUUUCUUGAAAGAAGGAGGAGAACCCAAUGAGACCGAAGAUAAUAUCCCAUCCCAAUCCCAACCCAUCCAAAUUGAAACCGCAACUCCACCCAUCCAAAUUGAAACCGCAACUCCAGACAAGACCACUUCCAAAAAUGUAAAAAAACAAAAAACAGGGGACAUCAGCAAAGCAGAGGUGGCAAUGGAGUAUGCCUUGGAGUGCUUGAAAAGACAAGAACAGAAGUUGGAGUCAGCACAUGCAGGAUUUUUAAAAUAUUUAGAUGAGUGUCUGCAAGAGGUGCCGGUGGAGAAACUGAGGAGUGUGAAGAGGAAGAUUAUUGAAAUUGUACAUACCAAUAUAGAAGAGUAAUCUCAGAUAGAACUAGUUUAACCAAUUAGUUUUUUUAUUACCCAUUUUAUUUAAGUAAUAACAUACAAGAGGAAAGACUAUACUGUAAUUAAUGUUCAAUAAAAUCUAACAAAAUUUCAUUUUAUAAUCACCUGUUCACUUGUUUUCAUUACUUUUCUAUGUGCAGUGUGAAUUUGAAUGAAAAAUUAUUUUGAAUAAAUGUGUAAUAAAUUAACUGAAUAAAUAUAAAU